rnacentral:rRNA from 1 species
GAUGAACGCUGGCGGCGUGCCUAAUACAUGCAAGUCGAGCGAACAGACGAGGAGCUUGCUCCUCUGACGUUAGCGGCGGACGGGUGAGUAACACGUGGAUAACCUACCUAUAAGACUGGGAUAACUUCGGGAAACCGGAGCUAAUACCGGAUAAUAUAUUGAACCGCAUGGUUCAAUAGUGAAAGACGGUUUUGCUGUCACUUAUAGAUGGAUCCGCGCUGCAUUAGCUAGUUGGUAAGGUAACGGCUUACCAAGGCAACGAUGCGUAGCCGACCUGAGAGGAUGAUCAGCCACACUGGAACUGAGACACGGUCCAGACUCCUACGGGAGGCAGCAGUAGGGAAUCUUCCGCAAUGGGCGAAAGCCUGACGGAGCAACGCCGCGUGAGUGAUGAAGGUCUUCGGAUCGUAAAACUCUGUUAUUAGGGAAGAACAAAUGUGUAAGUAACUAUGCACGUCUUGACGGUACCUAAUCAGAAAGCCCCGGCUAACUACGUG